rnacentral:rRNA from 1 species
GACGAACGCUGGCGGCGUGCUUAACACAUGCAAGUCGAACGGAAAGGCCCUGCUUUUGUGGGGUGCUCGAGUGGCGAACGGGUGAGUAACACGUGAGUAACCUGCCCUUGACUUUGGGAUAACUUCAGGAAACUGGGGCUAAUACCGGAUAGGAGCUCCUGCUGCAUGGUGGGGGUUGGAAAGUUUCGGCGGUUGGGGUUGGACUAGCGGCUUAUCAGCUUGUUGGUGGGGUAGUGGCUUACCAAGGCUUGGACGGGUAGCCGGCCUGAGAGGGUGACCGGCCACAUUAGGACUGAGAUACGGCCCAGACUCCUACGGGAGGCAGCAGUGGGGAAUAUUGCACAGUGGGCGGAAGCCUGAUGCAGCAACGCCGCGUGCGGGAUGACGGCCUUCGGGUUGUAAACCGCUUUCGCCUGUGACGAAGCGUGAGUGACGGUAAUGGGUGAAGAAGCACCGGCUAACUACGUG